GACGAACGCUGGCGGCGUGCUUAACACAUGCAAGUCGAACGGAAAGGCCCUGCUUUUGUGGGGUGCUCGAGUGGCGAACGGGUGAGUAACACGUGUGUAACCUGCCCUUGACUUUGGGAUAACUCCUGGAAACUGGGGAGAUUACCGGAGAGAAGCUCUUGCUCCAUGUGGGGGGUUGGUAAGUUACGGUUGUGGGGGAUGGUCUGGCGGCUUAUCAGCUGGUUGGUGGGGUAGGGGCUUACCAAGGGUUUGACGGGUAGCCGGCCUGAGAGGGGAACCGGCGACAUGGGGACUGAGAUACGGACCAGAAGCCUACGGGAGGCAGCAGUGGGGAAUAUUGCACAAUGAGCGGAAGCCUGAUGCGGAAGCGCCGCGUGCGGAAAGAUGGCCUUCGGGUUGUGAACCAAUUUCGACUGUGACGAAGCGGGAGUGACGGUAAUGGGUAAAGAAGCACCGGCUAACUACGUG
rnacentral:rRNA from 1 species